GAUGAACGCUAGCGGCAGGCUUAACACAUGCAAGUCGAGGGGCAGCACGGGUAGCAAUACUUGGUGGCGACCGGCGCAAGGGUGCGUAACGCGUGAGCAACAUGCCCGUAUCAGGGGGAUAAUCCAGGGAAACUUGGUCUAAUACCCCAUAGUAAUCUUGGAAGGCAUCUUUUAAGAUUUAAAGCUUCGGUGGAUACGGAUUGGCUCGCGUGACAUUAGUUAGAUGGUAAGGUAACGGCUUACCAUGACUAUGAUGUCUAGGGGUUCUGAGAGGAAGGUCCCCCACACUGGAACUGAGACACGGUCCAGACUCCUACGGGAGGCAG
rnacentral:rRNA from 1 species